UUGCCUACGGGAGGCAGCAGUAGGGAAUCUUCGGCAAUGGAUGAAAGUCUGACCGAGCAACGCCGCGUGAGCGAAGAAGGUUUUCGGAUCGAAAAACUCUGUUGUUAGAGAAGAACAAGGACGUUAGUAACUGAACGUCCCCUGACGGAAUCUAACCAGAAAGCCACGGCUAACUACGUGCCAGCAGCCGCGGUAAUACGUAGGUGGCAAGCGUUGUCCGGAUUUAUUGGGCGUAAUGGGAACG
rnacentral:rRNA from 1 species